rnacentral:rRNA from 1 species
GAAAGAUGGUUCUGCUAUCACUCUUGGAUGGACCUGCGGUGCAUUAGCUAGUUGGUAAGGUAACGGCUUACCAAGGCAAUGAUGCAUAGCCGAGUUGAGAGACUGAUCGGCCACAUUGGGACUGAGACACGGCCCAAACUCCUACGGGAGGCAGCAGUAGGGAAUCUUCCACAAUGGACGAAAGUCUGAUGGAGCAACGCCGCGUGAGUGAAGAAGGGUUUCGGCUCGUAAAGCUCUGUUGGUAGUGAAGAAAGAUAGAGGUAGUAACUGGCCUUUAUUGACGGUAAUUACUUAGAAAGUCACGGCUAACUACGUGCCAGCAGCCGCGGUAAUACGUAGGUGGCAAGCGUUGUCCGGAUUUAUUGGGCGUAAAGCGAGUGCAGGCGGUUCAAUAAGUCUGAUGUGAAAGCCUUCGGCUCAACCGGAGAAUUGCAUCAGAAACUGUUGAACUUGAGUGCAGAAGAGGAGAGUGGAACUCCAUGUGUAGCGGUGGAAUGCGUAGAUAUAUGGAAGAACACCAGUGGCGAAGGCGGCUCUCUGGUCUGCAACUGACGCUGAGGCUCGAAAGCAUGGGUAGCGAACAGGAUUAGAUACCCUGGUAGUCCAUGCCGUAAACGAUGAGUGGUAAGUGUUGGGAGGUUUCCGCCUCUCA